rnacentral:rRNA from 1 species
AGCGUGGGGAGCAAACAGGAUUAGAUACCCUGGUAGUCCACGCUGUAAACGAUGUCGAUUUGGAGGUUGUGCCCUUGAGGCGUGGCUUCCGGAGCUAACGCGUUAAAUCGACCGCCUGGGGAGUACGGCCGCAAGGUUAAAACUCAAAUGAAUUGACGGGGGCCCGCACAAGCGGUGGAGCAUGUGGUUUAAUUCGAUGCAACGCGAAGAACCUUACCUGGUCUUGACAUCCACAGAACUUUCCAGAGAUGGAUUGGUGCCUUCGGGAACUGUGAGACAGGUGCUGCAUGGCUGUCGUCAGCUCGUGUUGUGAAAUGUUGGGUUAAGUCCCGCAACGAGCGCAACCCUUAUCCUUUGUUGCCAGCGGUCCGGCCGGGAACUCAAAGGAGACUGCCAGUGAUAAACUGGAGGAAGGUGGGGAUGACGUCAAGUCAUCAUGGCCCUUACGACCAGGGCUACACACGUGCUACAAUGGCAUAUACAAAGAGAAGCGACCUCGCGAGAGCAAGCGGACCUCAUAAAGUAUGUCGUAGUCCGGAUUGGAGUCUGCAACUCGACUCCAUGAAGUCGGAAUCGCUAGUAAUCGUAGAUCAGAAUGCUACGGUGAAUACGUUCCCGGGCCUUGUACACACCGCCCGUCACACCAUGGGAGUGGGUUGCAAAAGAAGUAGGUAGCUUAACCUUCGGGAGGGCGCUUACCACUUUGUGAUUCAUGACUGGGGUGAAGUCGUAACAAGGUAACCGUAGGGGAACCUGCGGUUG